UGGGGAAUCUUGCGCAAUGGGCGAAAGCCUGACGCAGCGACGCCGCGUGGGGGAUGAAGGCCUUCGGGUUGUAAACCGCUUUCAGCAGGGGCGAAUUCAGACGGUACCUGCAGAAGAAGCGCCGGCUAACUACGUGCCAGCAGCCGCGGUAAUACGUAGGGCGCAAGCGUUGUCCGGAAUUAUUGGGCGUAAAGAGCUCGUAGGCGGCCUGUUGCGUCCGCUGUGAAAUCCCAGGGCUUAACCCUGGGCCUGCAGUGGAUACGGGCAGGCUAGAGGCAGGCAGGGGAGAACGGAAUUCCCGGUGUAGCGGUGAAAUGCGCAGAUAUCGGGAGGAACACCGGUGGCGAAGGCGGUUCUCUGGGCCUGUUCUGACGCUGAGGAGCGAAAGCGUGGGUAGCAAACAGGAUUAGAUACCCCCGUAGUCC
rnacentral:rRNA from 1 species